rnacentral:rRNA from 1 species
CAGGACGAACGCUGGCGGCGUGCUUAACACAUGCAAGUCGAACGGACGAUCACCCUUCGGGGUGUGAGUUAGUGGCGGACGGGUGAGUAACGCGUGAGUAAUCUGCCUUGGAGUGGGGAAUAACACAGGGAAACUUGUGCUAAUACCGCAUAACGUCAUCGGGUGGCAUCAUCUGGUGACCAAAGAUUUAUUGCUCCAAGAUGAGCUCGCGUCCGAUUAGAUAGUUGGCGGGGUAACGGCCCACCAAGUCGACGAUCGGUAGCCGGACUGAGAGGUUGGCCGGCCACAUUGGGACUGAGACACGGCCCAGACUCCUACGGGAGGCAGCAGUGGGGAAUAUUAGGCAAUGGGGGAGACCCUGACCUAGCGACGCCGCGUGAAGGAUGAAGGUUUUCGGAUUGUAAACUUCUUUGGCAGGGGACGAUAAUGACGGUACCCUGAGAACAAGCCACGGCUAACUACGUGCCAGCCGCUGC